AUAAAAUAAAUAAACAGAAUAUAAUUCUGGACAAUCCCUGUCUCUCUCUCAUUUUUCUCCUACCCUAACCAAAAUUUCUUAACUCCUAUCAUUCACUUCUCUACCCCAAGCGUCAGUCUCCGGCGAUUAUUUCCGGUGACUCCCUCGGUUCCGGAGACCCCGACAACUCCGGCGAUUCCUCAUAAAUUUGAUUCAUCAGAAAUGCUACAAUUUGCCGUUCCUCCUCGGAAGUUCCUUAUCGGAAAUAUAUCCAUUCAAAGGAAAUUAUCAUCGUCAAUUGGAUUUCAUGGAAAUGUAUUUCCAUGCUACCUCAACUAUCGAUAAACAGAUACAGAGAAUUGCAUUUCCACCUUGAGAAAGUAAUGAAGAAUGCAUGGACAGGGUCAGGUUCCCUGCCAAACUGGGGACUCAAGGGCAUGCCCAUGAUACCCAAGAGCUACUUAUGAUUAUGAAAAGAAAUUAUACAAUGAUCACCUUGAGUCAUUUCAGCUGAUGGAGAAGAACUAUAUGACCAUGCAUGACAUGAGAAGUGGAGAAACUCCAGGCAGAGUUACUGAGUACUUCUAAUGUUGGUAGAAGAACUGGCAGGCCCUAUGGUAGCACCCCUGGAAACGUGAGGAUGGCACUUUUUGGCAUCCUGUAGGACAAAAUGCUUAUAAAGAUGGCUAUGGUGGUCCCCAGGUUCGUCAUCUUCCAUCUUUUUGGUUGCAAUAUUGCUGUGAAGGAUAUAGAAGGAUAUGCAAAUAGAACAUGAUAAAGUUAUUUAUUUAAAUCGUGCUGCUUUUUGACUUUUUAUAUCCUGUUUAAUCCUCUACUUAAUGUCCUUUGAAUUGGUUGCCCUCAAAAUAUAUUGUAUUUAAUUGAUAUGUGAAUAACUGAACUUAAUUGUAAGAAUUCCAUCCUGAAAUGAAACUGAGAUGUCUUAACACUGUGAGACUGAAAUUUAAAGAUAGAGAAAUGUCUAUUAGCUUUUACUUUUGCAUGCUUGAUUUUGGUUCCCAUGUAUGUAAGAAUGUUGGACUAGCUUUCAUGGAUAAUUUAUAAAUGUUGAAAUUUCAUAUUGUGAGACUAUACCUUUACAUGCCUAUGUUCUUUACAAUUGUUCAAUGUCCUCCACUUGGAUUGGUAGGAGUUGCACAAGCAUUGUAUGUUUUAAAAUGAAAGACAGAGCACUUUUAGCUGUGUUUCAUGGAGAAAGUAAGAGUAGCUGUUACUUUCUGCAUUUUGUAAUAUAGGGAUACGGUCCUCUCCCAACUGUUAGUGCUGGUGCAGAUGUUAGUGCUGGUGCAGCUGGUGGCACUCCUUCUGUUGGAGCUCAAUCCUGGCCAGCUCCUCCAUGGACUGGCUAUGAAGCAAUAAUGGUUCCUGGUUAUGAUGCAUCUGUGGGCCCUAUAUAUGAUUCGCAAAGGGGAUACAGUAUGAUGUACAGAGGGACCUGGGUAUGAUGUACAAAGAGGACCGAACUAUGAUGCACAGAGAGAAGUAUGCAUGAUGCACAGAGGCCUGGAUAUGAUCUACAGAGAGGACCAGGUUAUGACAUGCAAAGAGGACGAGGUUAUGACUAAUCUAGAGGAUGAUUAAUGAAGCAUUUGGAGUUCACAAAUUGAAAAUAUGAAAAAUGUGAAACGCUAUAGUGGUGCAUUUAAGACAUUUCUGUAAAUAGUUUCUUCAAUGUAGGAUGUUUUGACCUAUUAUGGUUUGUAAUUUGACUAUUAAGAUUAAUCAAUUGAUUUUUAUAUAUAUUGCGCUUUGAAAUUA